rnacentral:rRNA from 1 species
GCGUAGGGAUCUACCUUCUGGUGGGGGAGUAGCCCGGACGAAAUACCGGAUUAAUACCGCAUAAGAACCUAAGGGUAGGAAAGGGGACCGAAUUCUUGAAAGCUCUUGCCGGAAGAUGAACCUGCGUUAGAUUAGCUAGUUGGUGGGGUAAGUGGCCUACCAAGGCGACGAUCUAUAGCUGGUCUGAGAGGAUGAUCAGCCACACUGGAACUGAGACACGGUCCAGACUCCUACGGGAGGCAGCAGUGGGGAAUAUUGGACAAUGGGCGCAAGCCUGAUCCAGCAAUACCGCGUGUGUGA